rnacentral:rRNA from 1 species
AAUACAUGCAAGUCGAGCGCUCACUUCGGUGAGAGCGGCGAACGGGUGAGUAACACGUUAGGACCUGCCCCGGACUCAGGGAUAACCCGGCUAAAGCCGGGCUAAUACCGGAUAGUCCCGCAAGGGUAAAGCUUUUGCGGUCCGGGAGGGACUUACGGCCUAUCAGCUUGUUGGUGGGGUAAUGGCCUACCAAGGCAAUGACGGGUAGCUGGUCUGAGAGGAUGACCAGUCACAAUGGGACUGAGACACGGCCCAUACUCCUACGGGAGGCAGCAGUAAAGAAUCUUUCGCAAUGGGGGAAACCCUGACGAAGCAAUACCGCGUGGGUGACGACGGCCGAAAGGUUGUAAAGCCCUUUUCUGGAGGAAGAAUUCUGACGGUACUCCAGGAAUAAGCACCGGCUAACUCCGUGCCAGCAGCCGCGGUAAUACGGAGGGUGCAAGCGUUAUCCGGAAUUAUUGGGCGUAAAGGGUCCGUAGGCGGUUUAUUAAGUCGAAUAUUAAAUCUUAAGGCCCAACUUUAAGGCUGUAUUCGAAACUGCUAAACUAGAGUAUUUCAGGGGCAUGCGGAAUUCUGUGUGUAGGGGUAAAAUCCGUAGAUACACAGAGGAACAUCAAAAGCGAAGGCAGCAUGCUGGGAAAUUACUGACGCUCAGGGACGAAAGCGUGGGUAGCAACGGGAUUAGAUACCCCGGUAGUCCACGCCGUAAACGAUGGAUACUAGUUGUUGGAGGACUCGACCCCUUCAGUGACGACGCUAACGCAUUAAGUAUCCCGCCUGUGGAGUACGACCGCAAGGUUAAAACAUAAAGGAAUAGACGGGGACCCACACAAGCGGUGGAGCACCUGGUUUAAUUCGAUAAUGAGCGAGGAACCUUACCUAGGUUUGACAUCCCGAGAAUUUUCUAGAAAUAGAGAAGUGCCUUAUGGAACUCGGUGACAGGAGCUGCAUGGUUGUCGUCAGCUCGUGCCUUGAGGUGUUCGGUUAAGUCCGUGAACGAGCGCAACCCAUGUCCUAUGUUGUAUUUUUCAUAGGAGACUGCCGAUUCAAAGUCGGAGGAAGGUAUGGAUGACGUCAAAUCAGCAUGGCCCUUAUGCCUAGGGCUACACAGGUGCUACAAUGGCUGGUACAAUGGGCAGCAAUAUCGUAAGAUGGAGCCAAUCCACAAAACCAGUCUAAGUUCGAAUUGAGGGCUGCAACUCGCCCUCAUGAAGUUGGAAUCGCUAGUAACCGCGGAUCAGCAAUGGCGCGGUGAAUCUGUUCCUGGGUCUUGUACUCACCGCCCGUCACGUCAUGAAAGGUGGAGGCGCCCGAAGUACCCUUAGCUUUUAGCGGGGUCCUAAGGUGAAACCACUGAUUGGGACGAAGUCGUAACAAGGUA